rnacentral:lncRNA from 1 species
GGAGGUGAUGGUGAAAUCACAGGAGCCGGUGGAGGAGGUGAUUUUACAGGCGGUGGCGGCGAGCUAACGGGUGCCGUUGGUGGAGGGGAUUUCAUGGGAGACGAUGGUGAAACCAUUGGAGCUAGUGGAGGAGGUAAUUUUACAGGUGGUGGCGGUGAGUUGACUGGAGUAGGUGGUGAAGAGUAUUUCACAGGAGGCGGUGGUGAGCUAACUGGAGCCGGUGGAGGAGGUGAUUUUACAGGUGGUGGUAGUGAGCUGACUGGAGCAGGUGGUGGAGGGGAUUGCGCCAGAGGAGGUGGUGAGCUUACUGGAGCCGGUGGUGGUGAUUUUAUAGGUGGUGGUGGUGAGCUGACUGGAGCAGGCGGUGGAGGGGAUUGCAUCGGAGGAGGAGGUGAGCUUAUUAGAGCUGAUGGAGGAGGUGAGUUUGCUUGUGGUGGGGGUGGCGACCUUAUCGGUGGUGGAGGAGGUGAUGAUUUCGUUAGCGGUGGAGGUGACCUCACCGGCGCUGGUGGCGGCGGCGAACUUAACAGUGGUGAAGGAGGUGGUGAUUUCACUGACGAUGGAGGUGACCUCACCGGCACCGGUGGUGGCGGUGAUUUAAUCAUCGGUGGAGGUGAUGGUGGUGAAGGAGAUUUCACCGUUGGAGGCGGUUCACUCACAUAUGCUGGAGAUGGAGGUGAUUUUACUAGUGGUGGUGAGCUAACCGAAACCGGUGGAGGAGGGAAUUUGGUAGGUGGGGGAGGCGAGCUAAUAGGUGCUGGUGGGGGUGGAGAUUUCAUUGAUGGCGGUGGUGAACUAAUCGGUGAUGGCGGUGGCGGUGGUGGUGACCUCACCGGUACUGGUGGUGGCGGCGAACUUACUGGUGGUGGAGGAGGUGGUGAUUUCACUGGCGCUGGAGGUGACCUUGGUGGCAACGGCGGUGGAG